rnacentral:rRNA from 1 species
CAGUCGACGGUACAGGAAGCAGCUUGCUGCUUUGCUGACGAGUGGCGGACGGGUGAGUAAUGUCUGGGAAACUGCCUGAUGGAGGGGGAUAACUACUGGAAACGGUAGCUAAUACCGCAUAACGUCGCAAGACCAAAGAGGGGGACCUUCGGGCCUCUUGCCAUCGGAUGUGCCCAGAUGGGAUUAGCUUGUUGGUGGGGUAACGGCUCACCAAGGCGACGAUCCCUAGCUGGUCUGAGAGGAUGACCAGCCACACUGGAACUGAGACACGGUCCAGACUCCUACGGGAGGCAGCAGUGGGGAAUAUUGCACAAUGGGCGCAAGCCUGAUGCAGCCAUGCCGCGUGUAUGAAGAAGGCCUUCGGGUUGUAAAGUANCUUUCAGCGGGGAGGAAGGGAGUAAAGUUAAUACCUUUACUCAUUGACGUUACCCGCAGAAGAAGCACCGGCUAACUCCGUGCCAGCAGCCGCGGUAAUACGGAGGGUGCAAGCGUUAAUCGGAAUUACUGGGCGUAAAGCGCACGCAGGCGGUUUGUUAAGUCAGAUGUGAAAUCCCCGGGCUCAACCUGGGAACUGCAUCUGAUACUGGCAAGCUUGAGUCUCGUAGAGGGGGGUAGAAUUCCAGGUGUAGCGGUGAAAUGCGUAGAGAUCUGGAGGAAUACCGGUGGC